rnacentral:rRNA from 1 species
GUGGGGAAUAUUGCGCAAUGGGCGAAAGCCUGACGCAGCGACGCCGCGUGAGGGACGAAGGCCUUCGGGUUGUAAACCUCUUUCAGCAGGGACGAAGCGAAAGUGACUGUACCUGCAAAAGAAGCACCGGCUAACUACGUGCCAGCAGCCGCGGUAAUACGUAGGGUGCAAGCGUUGUCCGGAAUUAUUGGGCGUAAAGAGCUCGUAGGCGGCUUGUCACGUCGGGUGUGAAACCUCGGGGCUCAACCCCGAGCCUGCAUCCGAUACGGGCUAGCUAGAGUUCGGCAGGGGAGACUGGAAUUCCUGGUGUAGCGGUGAAAUGCGCAGAUAUCAGGAGGAACACCGGUGGCGAAGGCGGGUCUCUGGGCCGAUACUGACGCUGAGGAGCGAAAGCGUGGGGAGCAAACAGGAUUAGAAACCCCAGUAGUCC